rnacentral:rRNA from 1 species
UACGUAGGGGGCGAGCGUUGUCCGGAUUUAUUGGGAGUAAAGAGCGUGUUGGCGGCCGAGCAGGUCCGUUGUGAAAACUGAAGGCUCAACCUUCAGAGGUCGCUGGAAACCGUUCGGGUAGAGUCCGGAAGAGGUGAGUGGAAUUCCUGGUGUAGCGGUGAAAUGCGCAGAUAUCAGGAAGAACACCCGUGGCGAAAGCGGCUCUCUGGGACGGUACUGACGCUGAGGCGCGAAAGCGUGGGGAGCGAACAGG